AUGGGGACGCGGGGGCGUGCUGUGGCUGCGCGUGCAGGGUUGGGAUGCGGCGGCGGCGGCGGCAGCGGGUGUGCACCCCGGGGAAGCGCGUGGGGCGGGGCUGGUCGGAGGCGGCGGGGGCGUGGCGCGGCGGCCGGGGCUGCGGCGUGGGGGCACCUGGCGCUGCGCACACUGGGCCGGCGGGGAUGGCGGCUGGGGCGGGGAGGUCAGGCCGUGGCGCGGGGCGCACGCGUGAAGCGGCACCGCACGUGUGAAAGGAAUUCUUUUCCGAGCGGCCCGAGCCCUGCUCGGGAGGAACGCGCCCGGGUCGCCGCCGCAGCAGAGCGGGGUGGAGGAAGCCGGGUUAUCCCGGACCAUCAGGGUGUAGAGCUCGUAGCGAUACUGAAAUACUUGAAAAUUCUCAGCGGUCGUCACCGCGCACCCAGCCGUCCGCGGGCAUUCAGCAUCGCCGUGCUCCCAAAAGUCCUGUUGGGAUUGUUUAGAAACGAGUAUAAAGAAUUUGCAGAGGAGUGGAAAAGCACCGUCCGAGCCCCUUCUCGUAGGAGACUUGAGAAAGUAAAUUGCAGUGACGCGGCCGCUUUGCUUUGUUGCCAGCUCCACACUAGUGAGCAAAAUUCAUCCUACCACGUUGAGUUCUCAGUUCGUGAAUUUGUGACUGCAACUUUAGAACUCCAGUUUUUAUUUUAUCAAGGUGUCUCCAAAACAUGCCAUUUAAAAAUGUUUCUAUACAAAUAGCUGACAAGUGAAUUAUGGCUCUCGUCACCCAGGAAUUCAAAACCAUGGUGAUUUAUAUUCUGUGCAUCGCUUUACUGGCGGUCCAUCGAUGUGCUGUGAAAUGUAUUGCAAGGCAAAUAUUAGAAGAUUAAAGAGGAAAAAGGACAGAUUUAUUUUCCAAAUAUCAGUGUGUUCAAAGUAAACAUCAGCUAAUUUGGCACAGAUUCCACUUGCUCAGCAGUGUGGUUCAUGUUGAAGGAAGCAUCUCAUAAGGGCAAUGCAUGUGUUGGUAUAGUGAAAAGUAAUUCACAAAACUGUACUACUCUAACAAAUGAGACAAUACUGUUUCUUAACCAGGAACUGUUAACUAGCUGAAAGCUGUCUUAAAAGAAUGGCAGGUAAUAAAAAUCUUUGGCAAUAAAAAAAAUAUUUUUGA
rnacentral:lncRNA from 13 species